rnacentral:rRNA from 1 species
CGAGGCAAUGUCGCGAGACGGAGCGAAUCGCUAAAAGCCGUCCCAGUUCGGAUUGCAGGCUGCAACCCGCCUGCAUGAAGUUGGAAUCGCUAGUAAUCGCGGAUCAGCAUGCCGCGGUGAAUACGUUCCCGGGCCUUGUACACACCGCCCGUCACACCAUGAGAGUCGGGAACACCCGAAGUCCGUAGCCUGACCGCAAGGGGGGCGCGGCCGAAGGUGGGUUCGAUAAUUGGGGUGAAGUCGUAACAAGGUAGC